GGCGAACGCUGGCGGCGUGCUUAACACAUGCAAGUCGAACGGAAAGGCCCCUUUGGGGGUACUCGAUUGGCUAACGGGUGUGUAACACGUGAGUAACCUGCCCUUGACUUCGUGUUAACUUCAGGCAACUGGGUCUAAUACCUGAUAGGAAUCCUUUCUGCCUGGUUGGUGUUGGUAAGCUUCGGCGGUUUUGGAUGGACUCGCGGCUUAUCAGCUUGUUGGUUGGGUAGUGGCUUACCAAGGCUUUGACUGGUAGCCGGCCUGAGAGGGCGACCGGCCACAUUGGGAAUGAGAUACGGCACAGACUCCUACGGGAGGAAGAAGUGGGGAAUAUUGCAAAAUGGGCGGAAGCCUGAUGCAGAAAAGCCGCGGGCGGGAUGAAGGGCUUAGGGUUGUAAAACGCUUUCAGCAGGGGAGAAGCUGGUGGUGACGGUACCUGCAGAAGAAGCACCGGCUAACUACGUG
rnacentral:rRNA from 1 species